rnacentral:rRNA from 1 species
GAUGAACGCUGGCGGCGUGCUUAACACAUGCAAGUCGAGCGAAGCAUUUUAAAGGAAGUUUUCGGAUGGAAUUUAAAAUGACUUAGCGGCGGACGGGCGAGUAACGCGUGGGUAACCUGCCUCAUACAGGGGGAUAACAGUUAGAAAUGACUGCUAAUACCGCAUAAGCGCACAGUUCUGCAUAGCACAGUGUGAAAAACUCCGGUGGUAUGAGAUGGACCCGCGUCUGAUUAGGUAGUUGGUGAGGUAACGGCCCACCAAGCCGACGAUCAGUAGCCGACCUGAGAGGGUGACCGGCCACAUUGGGACUGAGACACGGCCCAAACUCCUACGGGAGGCAGCAGUGGGGAAUAUUGGACAAUGGGGGAAACCCUGAUCCAGCGACGCCGCGUGAGUGAAGAAGUAUUUCGGUAUGUAAAGCUCUAUCAGCAGGGAAGAAAAUGACGGUACCUGACUAAGAAGCCCCGGCUAACUACGUGCCAGCAGCCGCCGUAA